AUUGAACGCUGGCGGCAUGCUUUACACAUGCAGGUCGAACGGUAACAGGCCGCAAGGUGCUGACGAGUGGCGAACGGGUGAGUAAUGCAUCGGAACGUGCCCAGUCGUGGGGGAUAACUACUCGAAAGAGUAGCUAAUACCGCAUACGAUCUAUGGACGAAAGCGGGGGACCGUAAGGCCUCGCGCGAUUGGAGCGGCCGAUGUCAGAUUAGGUAGUUGGUGGGGUAAAGGCUCACCAAGCCAACGAUCUGUAGCUGGUCUGAGAGGACGACCAGCCACACUGGGACUGAGACACGGCCCAGACUCCUACGGGAGGCAGCAGUGGGGAAUUUUGGACAAUGGGCGCAAGCCUGAUCCAGCAAUGCCGCGUGCAGGAAGAAGGCCUUCGGGUUGUAAACUGCUUUUGUACGGAACGAAACGGCUCUGGUUAAUACCCGGGGCUAAUGACGGUACCGUAAGAAUAAGCACCGGCUAACUACGU
rnacentral:rRNA from 1 species